rnacentral:rRNA from 1 species
AAACGCGACCCCAGGUCA